rnacentral:rRNA from 1 species
AACGCGAAGAACCUUACCAGGUCUUGACAUCCAACUAACGAGGCAGAGAUGCGUCAGGUGCCCUUCGGGGAAAGUUGAGACAGGUGGUGCAUGGUUGUCGUCAGCUCGUGUCGUGAGAUGUUGGGUUAAGUCCCGCAACGAGCGCAACCCUUGCCAUUAGUUGCUACGCAAGAGCACUCUAAUGGGACUGCCGUUGAUAUAACGGAGGAAGGUGGGGACGACGUCAAAUCAUCAUGCCCCUUAUGACCUGGGCUACACACGUACUACAAUGGCCGUUAACAGAGGGAAGCAAUACAGCGAUGUGGAGCAAACCCCCAAAAACGGUCCCAGUUCGGAUUGCAGGCUGAAACUCGCCUGUAUGAAGGUGGAAUUGCUAGUAAUCGCGGAUCAGCAUGCCGCGGUGAAUACGUUCCCGGGUCUUGUACACACCG